rnacentral:rRNA from 1 species
UGGGGAAUAUUGCACAAUGGGCGCAAGCCUGAUGCAGCCAUGCCGCGUGUGUGAAGAAGGCCUUCGGGUUGUAAAGCACUUUCAGCGAGGAGGAAGGGUAGUGUGUUAAUAGCACAUUGCAUUGACGUUACUCGCAGAAGAAGCACCGGCUAACUCCGUGCCAGCAGCCGCGGUAAUACGGAGGGUGCAAGCGUUAAUCGGAAUUACUGGGCGUAAAGCGCACGCAGGCGGUUUGUUAAGUCAGAUGUGAAAUCCCCGCGCUUAACGUGGGAACUGCAUUUGAAACUGGCAAGCUAGAGUCUUGUAGAGGGGGGUAGAAUUCCAGGUGUAGCGGUGAAAUGCGUAGAGAUCUGGAGGAAUACCGGUUGCGAAGGCGGCCCCCUGGACAAAGACUGACGCUCAGGUGCGAAAGCGUGGGGAGCAAACA